UUGUAUAUACAUAUCAGAUAUCUUACUAUGUAUUUUUAUUUGAAUAGUUUUAGAUAUUAAUACUUAAAUUUAGAUAUUUAGAAAAUUAAUUUGAGAUUAUUUACAUAUAUACAUAUAUAUAUAUAUAUAUAUGUAUAUUAACGGUUCUAAAACGUACACGACAUCACCGUUUGAAUUGUUCGCAACUUGAUUUGAGGUAUCGCAUUGAACUCUAAAAACCGGCGAAGAGAAACUUAUAGUUUAUCCGGCGAAGAGGAACUCAGAAAUUCCGGCGAGAUAGCAACCAUCGAGAUGUUUGGGAAUAAACCCAACGCCGAUGUCCCGACGAAGCAUUAUACGCGGCAAGGCCCCCAGAAGGAGAAUCGGGAAGUCAGAGUUUUCCCGAGGAAUAAACUAUCUCCGACAAACCCGCCGGAGAAAUUGGUACUUGCAGGCAGUACAAGUGUGGCUCCGACUGCAGAUUGUUAUAGUACAAGUCCACACUCCGGCUUGCUGUUGGCAACUGCACGUACGGUCAAUGCUGCAUAGGGUGUUUCUUCUAUUGGUACGUGAGGGAGAUGUGUAUCUUCUAUUAGAUUUGACAUUGCUAUCACGGAUGAAGGAUAAUAUUUUCCUCCUCAUGUGUAUGCUUUGGCUCUACUCUUUAGUUUAUUUCUUCGUAAUCUACUAUACUCUGUUUGUCUUUAUGCAUUGUAUUCCUUUUUUUCGGGCAGUUAUAUUAUGAAUGAAUGAACUUUUUGUUGUUUGCAGACAACAUGUAUGAAAUACGUAUGGUUUUGUGUA